rnacentral:tRNA from 1 species
UAGCCUAGUGGUGAAGGCUAAGGAUCGCCAAUCCGGAGAUGGCGGGUUCGAUUCCCGU